AUUGAACGCUGGCGGCAGGCCUAACACAUGCAAGUCGAACGAGUGGCGGACGGGUGAGUAAUGUCUGGGAAACUGCCUGAUGGAGGGGGAUAACUACUGGAAACGGUAGCUAAUACCGCAUACCAUCAGAUGUGUCCAUAUGGGAUUAGCUAGUAGGUGGGGUAACGGCUCACCUAGGCGACGAUGCCUAGCUGGUCUGAGAGGAUGACCAGCCACACUGGAACUGAGACACGGUCCCGACUCCUAAGGGAGGCAGCAGUGGGGAAUAUUGCGCAAUGGGCGCAAGCCUGAUGCAGCCAUGCCGCGUGUAUGAAGAAGGCCUUCGGGUUGUAAAGUACUUUCAGCGGGGAGGCGUUACCCGAAGAAGAAGCACCGGCUAACUCCGUGCCAGCAGCCGCGGUAAUAC
rnacentral:rRNA from 1 species